ACAGUUGCUUUCGGCAGGUCGGCUUUCCCGCCGCGCGGUGGCUCCUUUGUGAGCCCGCCUGCCGGAGUCACAUAAACUCUUGAUUAUUGUUGACAUCUCUGAGUAAUUUACUUAAUAAGUUAAAACUUUCAACAACGGAUCUCUUGGUUCUGGCAUCGAUGAAGAACGCAGCGAAAUGCGAUAAGUAAUGUGAAUUGCAGAAUUCAGUGAAUCAUCGAAUCUUUGAACGCACAUUGCGCCCGCCAGUAUUCUGGCGGGCAUGCCUGUUCGAGCGUCAUUUCAACCAUCAAGCUUUAGGCUUGUGUUGGAGCCCUGCGGCUGUCCGCAGGCCCCUAAAUACAGUGGCGGGCUCGCUAUCACACCGAGUGCAGUAGUUUUCUUUCUCGCUCAGGGCGUGUAGUGGGUGCUAGCCGUGAAACCCCUUUUUCACAAGGUUGACCUCGGAUCAGGUAGGAAUACCCGCUGAACUUAAGCAUAUCA
rnacentral:rRNA from 1 species